rnacentral:rRNA from 1 species
AUGGGUGGAAAAAUUAUUUCUACAAGUGGUAAGGCAAUAUUAUUGAAAGUUGUUGCCCAUGCUGUACCUAUUUUUGCUAUGACUGUGUUUAGCAUUCAUAAGAGGAUAUGCAAAGAGAUUACAAAUAUUAUAUCCUAGUUCUGGUGGGGAGAUAAUGAGGAGCAUAGAAGAAAGCAUUGGGUCGCAUGGUGGAAAUUUUGUUUUUCGAAAAGUGAAGGAGGUAUGGGAUUCUGAGAUCUCUAUUCUUUCAAUUUGGCCUUGCUUGCACACAAAGCGUACAUAGUAGUUGCGUCGGUGACAAGCGGCUCACGAAGGCAUCUCCUACGCCUCAUUGACGUCUGCCAGCUAGUCGCUGACCCUAAUUUCGGCGAUGAAACACCAGCGACGCCGAUUGAAACAGUGGCCGAUUGGCUCGGUCACGGUGGUCGCGUGACUAUCUGCGGUAGCUCCGGUGGCCAGUAG